CGCAUCUGUGCAUGCAGCAUAUCAAUAAGCGGAGGAAAAGUAACUAACAAGGAUUCCCCUAGUAACGGCGAGUGAAGCGGGAAGAGCUCAAAUUUGAAAUCUUAAAGGGUUUCCCUUUACGAAUUGUAGUUUAAAGAAGUGUUUUCUGUUGAGGUUUUGGUAAAAGUUCUUUGGAAUAGGACAUCAUAGAGGGUGAGAAUCCCGUAUUUGACCUUUACUUUCAACUUUGUGAUACACUUUCAAAGAGUCGGAUUGUUUGGGAAUGCAGUCCAAAAUGGGUGGUAAAUUUCAUCUAAAGCUAAAUAUUGGCGAGAGACCGAUAGCGAACAAGUACCGUGAGGGAAAGAUGAAAAGAACUUUGAAAAGAGAGUUAAACAGUACGUGAAAUUGUCAAAAGGGAAGCGUUUGACAUCCAGUGUUGUUUUUCUGAAAAUCAAUUAAAGAACUGUUUAUGCUAAGUUGUUUAGACUUUAUCAGCUAACUGUUUAGUUUUGAGCUUUUCUUUAAUGCACUUUUCAGUUAACAAGUCAACAUCAAUUUCUUUUGCUGUAAAAAAGCUUGAGGAAGGUGGCUUGAGAUUCGUCUUAGGUGUUUAUAGCCUCUUGCCUAUGCAGUCGGAGAGAUUGAGGUCUGCAGCGUAGAUCCUUCGGGGCUAAAUGCAUUUGUGCUAAGUUAUAAGCAUUUUAUAGACAACUUGUUGACCUAUGAUUUGUCUUGUAGCUUACUCGCUUAUGUUAUUUUACCUACGCUUAGGAUGUUGAAACGCGCACAGAGUCUC
rnacentral:rRNA from 1 species